rnacentral:tRNA from 2 species
GGGUGCUUAGCUCAGCUGGUAGAGCGUCGUCCUUACAAGGCGAAUGUCGGCGGUUCGAGCCCGUCAGCACCCACCA